UCAGUCUUUCCUGCUUUCUCUCUACACAGGCCUGCUUCCACAGAGCACCUUAACUGCCAUCCCUGGCUGGCAAAGGCCACUUAAAAUGUCUGCAUUCCAAACAGGACCAGAUGCUUUCAGCCCACUUUUAGAAAGCUCAACAUAACCAGGGCUAAGGCCGGCUUUCUGUUUUUUUCUCUUUUCCAGUUUUUUUCUCUUCUCCUUGGUCCCUAGCUGUAAUGAUAUACAACUGUGUCCUCACAAAGAAACAUUUCCCCAAAAUGGUCAAUAACAAGACUCUCCUUUUCAUUUGCUUUCUUUGAACCCUGGGAGACUCUACAAUUCAAAGAAUAUGAAGAUGCUUGCCGAUACACUUCCAUCAACCCCAGGCUUAUUGCGUGGCUGCCUUCCAGCAUUGAGUAAACUACGGUUCAGAAGCUUUCCUGGGUUCACCAGAGCACAGAAGUGGCAUUGCUGAGAUGUGAGGCUGGAGCUCCUGACUCCCCAUGAUGCUAAGCUCUGGUUGUGCUGUAUUCUCCUGAUUCAAUGCUUGAUCAGCAAUCACCACUUUGCUCCCAUUCUGCCACCCACUGGCUCCCUAGGAGCUUCCAUGGAGAAGAGUGUGAUAUUGCUGGAGUUGGAGUGUGUAUCCUCCAUGGAGAUCUUCUUGAUGCUCCAGCCUGGCUGAGUCUCAGUUCUUGGUGAAUUUCUGUGAUAUUCAAAUACCCACACUGGCCAGUGAUGUCUCCCUGACUGUGUCCAUCCCAUCCCAUUGCUCUUUUAUUCUUCCUCUCUUGGUACCAACAAUGUCUGUAAUGUUGUGCAUUGGAGUCCUUCUCUGAUGCUGUGUAGCCUUCCAGGAGUGCCUCUUCCCCCAUUGGAUGUGAUUUCUAAGAUGUGGAGAUGACUCAGAUGGAAAAGGUCCUGUCACCCAGCAUGAACAUUGGAGUUUAGAUUCCCACUACCCAUGUAAAAGCCAUUCUGGUGAGGUGGCCAGUCUGAAAUUCUAGCUGUCUGAAGGCAGAAACAGAGGAGCAAGCUUUUCUAGCCAGAUUAGCCAAAUCAGUGAGUUCAACUGGGAGAGCCUACCUCAAUGAAUACAGUGGGGAGCAACUGAGGAAGGUUCCCAUUAUAAGCCUCUGGCACCCCAGGCUUCAAUCUCCAACUGCCACCAGUGUCUGCAUACACGCGCAUCUGUGUUCACACAUAUGGAAACAUGCACGACACAUGCAUGCAUGCCACACACACAGAUAAUUGAAGGAAAAAUUAGAUGUGAGUUCUUUCUUACUGGGUCCAUCUCUUGGCAUUUGUCAUAGCCUGGCGUUGGUACUUAAUAGACUGAACUCUUUGACUGUAGCAUGUAAUGUUUCUGGAAGGCAUUUCUCAGUGCUCAGGCCACAGCUGGCUCUAAAGCAGGCACUAGAUACACCUUGAAUGAACAGAAGGAAAAGACCAGGCUUCUCUAUCUCACCCUUUCUUGUAAAGAAGAAAGGAAAAUGGAUGCUCAGCCUGCCUGGUUUCUGUUGCCUCAUGAAUUUUCCUCCAGAUCCUCAGACCAAAGGUCUGUUAUUUUGCCAAAUGCGAUUCUCCAGGAUGCUCCGAGAUCUUGCUGAGGCGGGUCUUUGUCUUUCAUGAGGCUGUACCAAAGGCCAAGCCAGCAGGGACACACUGCCACCUACCCCAGCCGACUCCAAACUUCAUGCAAUUUUUAUUUGCCUUCUUUGGCCCGGCCAACCUUGCACCGAGCUGACAUAAAAAUUCAACCCUCUGGCAGCUGAUGAAUAAAAUAACUCCUUGGCCGGAAUCCACUUGCACCUUGGGGAGGAUUCCAAAGACAUCCAGCUGUCUAUGCUCAGCUCUCCUCUGAGGGCCCCGUUCCACUUCAGUGCCCAUUGGUAAUUAGCCCUCUGCCACUGGCUCACCUGGUGAGUCUUUGCUGUAGGGGAGAUGAAGGUAGAAGGGUCACAAAAAUACCAGGAUGGAAAUCAGGAGAUUAAUUCGCUGCCUCUCUCAAUGUUUCUGCAAAAUGGGAUUAAGAUGGAUAUCAAUAAAUAUCUAUUGAGUUGUUUCUAGACUCCAAUGAAAGAGGUUGAGAGUGGGGGGAAGACCAGGAAAAUCUUCUCCAAGCACUUACAAAAUAACCCCAAAGCAGGCUCUCUUUGCAAGAUUGUCACUAGUAAAGUGAAGUAGAGGAAAUGGGAGGAAGUUAGGAGAUAGGGCCUAGGACACACAAAGCGCCAAGCACAAUCCCAGAUACCCGGGAGGUGUCACAGAGGUGACAGACGGGAGUGCUGGUGGUGCUGUUUCUGAAGUCACCAAGUUCUUGGCAAGCUCUCAUCAAGGUUGGAUGCUUUCUAAAUCCUGGACCACACAAGAACUCAAUAAUCUCUCUCUUUCAGUGUUUAUAACAGACGCACCCCUCUCCCCCUGCCCCGCCCCAACCUGCCUGUUCUAUUUUUGUGUGGAAACUGAGUGAAUUUAAGCUAAGGGAUGACACAUGUCACAAGUGUUUGGUUAAUGAUGCAUAAUUUGCAAGAAAUGGAGCUGAACUUUGAUCCCCACUCCCCAGGCUAACCCUGGGUGCAUCUCUGUCUUGGCUAUGAGGAACAAGCAACUGAGGCUGUGUAACCUUGGCACAAAUGAAUAUAACUGAGCUUUCUGCUGCCACAGUUCUGGGGUUGUAUAUUAAUCAUCUUCCUUUCCAUUUGUAAGGUUCAGUUUCAUUUCCUCAUCUCCAUAUGUGAGGUGGCCUAAGGUGGCUUGAUUGAGGAAUUGUGCUGUUCCACAGAAAUGUACAAUUUUUGAAGCUCAUUUUGUUCAAAUUUGUCAUGUCAUAGAAGAAGAAGUCACCUCUAAUUGAGUGCUUUGUGACGAGCUGGUGAUAACACCAGGUCUGAGACUGUUCUCUUCUGACUGUGUUCACAGGGCAGAUUUAUGUUAGAUGAUGUUAAUGUCCAGUUCAGGACCUACGGGUCCGUACUGACUUAUUGCUGUGUGCAAACGUGGUGUUAGGUUGGUUACUGGAGUGAAUCAAUGCUUUAUUCCUUGGCAGGUGACUUAGAUUGCAUUACAGAAAGGGUCUGAGGAUGUACUGAGAAAUUCUGUAACUCUUGGAACUAGAAAUCCAUUACAGAUUUUUUUCCAAGACAAUGUGGAAAAAAAGAUAAUUCUCACUGAAAAUGUCAUUAUGAAACUCAUUGCUUUGUACAAUGAAUAUAUACCAAUAAAGACUUUUUAUAGCUUA